CAGUGCUUGACAUGACUGAUUCAAAAAACAUCUGUGGACAGCCUACCAUAUGCUUCAGUCUUUCACUAUGAUUUAAAAAUGUAAGAAGUCUUCUGAUAGGUCCUGGUCAUGUUUCCUACAACUGGUCUAAGAACAUGCAAAGAGAUUAUCAAUCUCCAGACCCAUAAGGAAUUGUUGAGGGCCCUCAGUUUUACUGCCUGUGCUCCAGACCAUCUGUGAUCCAGCCCAGCUCUGGGACUUUGGACCUGCUGCUGGAGAGGCCUGCUGCCAUGAGAAACAGCAGGUAGCACACUGAGAGAUUAGAAAACAACCAGGAGUAACCUUGAGAGAUGUCCUUACUCAAGGGGAGAUCCUGGUGUGCAGUCGUUGCUGUGCAGGAGAGCUUAGCAGGUGCUGGACUGUCUACUACUUAUGGAGUAAGGCACCUGAAAAGAAGAAAAAUGUGAAUGAACUGGAGGAACAUUAGAUCUGGUACACUGUUUAACUUGGAGAAGAGAUGGCUUCGGAGAAACAUAUGGAAAGAAACAAUCCAAGCUCUUUACUGCAGUGCUUUGCCAGGAAAAAGGAGUCAACAUUCAUAAAUUUAAAGCAGUACAUUCAGACUUAAUAUAAUAACAGAUUGGAUAUAUUUUCCCGAGGUUUGACUGGCUAUUUUGGAACUUUUGGAGACUUCUGCAGACUUCUGCACUCAAGAGUUUCCAGGUUUCCUCUUUGCUUGUCAGAGCUGUUCCUGUAUGAUUCCACCUGCCUGCUCCCUGAACAAGCCUCAGGCUGUUGCCUUGAUGCCUGAGGUCUAGGCUCUCCUACUCUAUUCCUUCUUUCCCCUUGGGAUCCUCAUGUCAAUUCUUCAUGCUCACUGUGGCCAAGGCUGCUAUGGAUUGCCACACCCUCACUGUGUCAUUAUUCAGCUUUAAACUGAAGCUCAACAGUGUUGAUGAACUUUUUGCUUAUAAAAUUUGUAUUCAUAAUGGAAGGAAUAAUCCAAAUAGUAUCUUCUGCACAAUUUGAUAUUAAUGUUAUUUUGAUGAAUGUUUAUUCAUUUGUAGAAAAUAGAAGAAAGUAAGAAGGUGACUGGAAUCUAGAUAUACACUUGUGAUUUUAUUAUUGUUCAUUCAUUUUUGGUGGGAGUUU